AUACGGAGGGUGCAAGCGUUAUUCGGAAUCACUGGGCGUAAAGGACGCGUAGGCGGGUUGGCAAGUCAGAUGUGAAAUCCUACAGCUUAACUGUAGAACUUCAUUUGAAACUGCUAACCUAGAGUAUGGGAGGGGGAGAUGGAAUUAGUGGUGUAGGGGUAAAAUCCGUAGAUAUCACUAGGAAUACCGAAAGCGAAGGCGAUCUCCUGGAACAUAACUGACGCUAAGGCGUGAAAGCGUGGGGAGCAAACAGGAUUAGAAACCCUAGUAGUCC
rnacentral:rRNA from 1 species